GGGGCUAUCGCUCAAUGGCAGAGCAGGAGUCUUGUCAAAGAUUCUUACAGCAACAAUCAAAUUUUUCGGUUCGAAUCCGAAUAGCCCCG
rnacentral:tRNA from 1 species